CCUACGGGCGACAGCAGUGGGGAAUAUUGCACAAUGGGGGAAACCCUGAUGCAGCGAAGCCGCGUGAGUGAAGAAGUAUUUCGGUAUGUAAAGCUUUAUCAGCAGGGAAGAAAAUGACGGUACCUGAUUAAGAAGCCCCGGCUAACUAAGUGCCAGCAGCCGCGGUAAUAAGGAGGGGGCACGCGUUAUCCGGAUUUACUGGGUGUAAAGGGAGCGUAGACGGCAGCACAAGUCUGGAGUGAAAUGCCGGGGGUUAACCCCGGAACUGCUUUGGAAACUGUGCAGCUAGAGUGCAGGAGAGGUAAGUGGAAUUCCUAGUGUAGCGGUGAAAUGCGUAGAUAUUAGGAGGAACACCAGUGGCGAAGGCGGCUUACUGGACUGUAACUGACGUUGAGGCACGAAAGCGUGGGGAGCAAACAGGAUUAGAUACCCGAGUAGUC
rnacentral:rRNA from 1 species